UGUAUCAGGUCAGCUGGUUGAUUUGCCGGUGUUUGUCGUGUUGAGUUGUUAGUUGUGUAAAGUAAGAGCUGGUGUUUGGAUCGUAUCGGACUCGUGAUGAUGAGCUGACGGUGAAAUCUACUCCGGUUACAACACAGGGGUAAAAGAGUUUAUAUUUCCAUAGCAACGCGUCAGCCGCUGAUAAUGAGUCUCCUGACGCAGCUCAGAUUGUUACUGUGGAAGAACUUUACUCUACGGAGCAGACAGAAGAAAGAGGAGGCUCUGGUCGACCUGGAACAGGUGUGUGUAAGAACGAGCAGAUUUCAUUGGUCCUCGGAGAGUGAAAAACGGCCUCACCUUCACAAAGCACGCGUGGGAUUAUUCAUCACAUCUCACAGCUCCUCUGGAGAACAUGAUUGAUGAGCGAGAUCGGAUCGAGUGCUAAUGAUUACGGGGUGUGUUCGGUUCAAGCGCUGCGCUAAUGCCAGUAAUAAGCAUCAUAAUGCUGGGGGUGGGCUUCGUCCAACUAGUGC